rnacentral:snoRNA from 1 species
AUCCCAUGAUAAGGGCACUUAUGAAGUAAUUCUUUGAAUCUCUCCCAUGCCUCGUACAAAAUUUGUCAUCCAAUUGUUGAAAAGUGGUUAUCUUAUUUUGCAACU